CCAGACUCCUACGGGAGGCAGCAGUAGGGAAUCUUCGGCAAUGGACGAAAGUCUGACCGAGCAACGCCGCGUGAGUGAAGAAGGUUUUCGGAUCGUAAAACUCUGUUGGUAGAGAAGAACGUUGGUGAGAGUGGAAAGCUCAUCAAGUGACGGUAACUACCCAGAAAGGGACGGCUAACUACGUGCCAGCAGCCGCGGUAAUACGUAGGUCCCGAGCGUUGUCCGGAUUUAUUGGGCGUAAAGCGAGCGCAGGUGGUUUAUUAAGUCUGGUGUAAAAGGCAGUGGCUCAACCAUUGUAUGCAUUGGAAACUGGUAGACUUGAGUGCAGGAGAGGAGAGUGGAAUUCCAUGUGUAGCGGUGAAAUGCGUAGAUAUAUGGAGGAACACCGGUGGCGAAAGCGGCUCUCUGGCCUGUAACUGACACUGAGGCUCGAAAGCGUGGGGAGCAAGCAGGAUUAGAUACCCUGGUAGUCCACGCCGUAAACGAUGAGUGCUAGAUGUAGGGAGCUAUAAGUUCUCUGUAUCGCAGCUAACGCAAUAAGCACUCCGCCUGGGGAGUACGACCGCAAGGUUGAACUCAAAGGAAUUGACGGGGGCCCGCACAAG
rnacentral:rRNA from 1 species